rnacentral:tRNA from 1 species
GGUCAUGUGUUCCAAUGGAUAAGGCGCCUGGCUACGAAUAAGGAGAUUCCAGGUUCGAGUCCUGGCAGGAUCG